GAAAAAAAUUCUUUCCCUCUUCCUCUGUUUUCCCAUUUAUUCAGUUGCUAUAGGCCAGAUUCCUUGGAACAAUCCUUAAUUCCUCUGUUCUUUUAAUGAAAAGAACUAAUGAGUUCUCCAGCUUACCCAGGUCGCCAGGCCUGAACCCCUACAUCCACUUGAAUAUUGGCUCUCUGCCCCGCAGCCAGUCAGGGUUUUUUAGAACAGAACAUAGGUUAUUUUUCUUCCCUACUAUUAAGUGCUUUAUUCACAUUUAGAAUAAAAUUCAGUCUCCUUGGCAUGCCAUGCAGAAUCUGGCACAGGUUAGCCCCUGUCUCUCAUUUGUUUCAUAGCUCUCUUCCUUUUUGCCCAUUCCUCUCCAGUGACACUGCCUUGUCAUUAUUCCUUAGAUACACCAAACAUGAAGGGCUUUGCACUUGCCUUUGUCUCUUUUUUCUGGGGUCUCUUCAAAUGUUACCUUCUCAAAGAAGCCUUUUUUGCCCAACAUGUCACGAUAACAGCCUUCUCUAUCAUCCUGCUUUGUGUUGCUUCACGAUGGUUUUUAUUGUCUAUUCUUUACUUAGGUGUUUAGUUUAUCACUCUCAGAAUGUAAGCUCCAUUCUUGGAGGGCCAAAUAAAACUUUGUUUUAUUCACUGCUAUAUUUCUGGAAUGCACAGUGGUACCUGCAACAUAGAGG
rnacentral:lncRNA from 1 species